UAUCUUCUCAAGCUUUGCUUGGUGUUGGGUGCUUGCCUGUGUAUGUAGGCUCACCUUAAAAUGAUAAGUGCUUGCGUAGCCCUGCAAGUCGCGGAGUAGAAUCUGCUUGUUGGGGGGCAACCAGAGGCACUAUAACCAACUAUCACCAUU
rnacentral:misc_RNA from 2 species